GACGAACGCUGGCGGCGUGCUUAACACAUGCAAGUCGAACGGAAGGGCCCUGCUUUUGUGGGGUGCUCGAGUGGCGAACGGGUGAGUAACACGUGAGUAACCUGCCCUUGACUUUGGGAUAACUUCAGGAAACUGGGGCUAAUACCGGAUAGGAGCUCCUGCUGCAUGGUGGGGGUUGGAAAGUUUCGGCGGUUGGGGAUGGACUCGCGGCUUAUCAGCUUGUUGUGGGGUAGUGGCUUACCAAGGCUUUGACGGGUAGCCGGCCUGAGAGGGUGACCGGCCACAUUGGGACUGAGAUACGGCCCAGACUCCUACGGGAGGCAGCAGUGGGGAAUAUUGCACAAUGGGCGGAAGCCUGAUGCAGCAACGCCGCGUGCGGGAUGACGGCCUUCGGGUUGUAAACCGCUUUCGCCUGUGACGAAGCGUGAGUGACGGUAAUGGGUAAAGAAGCACCGGCUAACUACGUG
rnacentral:rRNA from 1 species